UAUAUAUAAUACAACUGUAUACACAUGCAGUCGUAUAAUAACUGUAAAUAUAUGCAGUUGUAAAAUAACUUUUGACCACGAUAGGUUUAGUGUUACAGGAUUGUGAAUAGAAAAAUCUCGAAUAUGAAACAACCGUCUACCGAAUGGAAGCUCGAGGUACCAUUCUGCCGUCGGAAAAUGUCGGGACGGUUCGAUUACGGCGGAGGACACCCGUUAGAUGGGCAGAGCAGGCAAUACAUCUGGCGUCGGUGUUACGCAACCACGUAUAAUCCUAGAUUACGGCAAAUUACAUUUUUGCCGGUGGUGCACUCCCAUCCGAAUCAUAUAUGGAGGCGCUACCCUAUCGGAUAGCCAUCGGGCGCGAGCGAUCUGGCAUGCGCGGCCGUUCUCGUGAAUGGGCACGGCUCGUGGACCAAGCGGCGGCCGCGAGUUUCGACGGCUGUCGUCGACCUUGAUCCACCCUUCGCGUGGAACCGGAAGUCACCCCUCCGCGACGCUCGCUACCCUCGUUACCAUUUUCGGCAAUUCUCGCGGCAGAGUUAACGAACCAGCCUGGCAACAUUCUCGGCUUCGGCAAUCGGAACUCGUUCGAAAAGGUCUAUUCGAUGGGAAUCGCGAAAAUUCACCUCGUGAAAAUCGGGAGCAACUUUGCCACGCCCACUCCGGGCCCUCUGAACGAAGUCUGAGAGGAGAGGAGAUUGUCCCGUAAAACACUGUUCUGGCUCCAUAGAAAUGGAGAGCAUCGAAGCCACGCCCACCGAUGUGCUUUAAUAGAAAAGAUUUUUUGGUGUCCCCGUCGCUAUUGAAUUUGGAAGAUCUGGUAUCUCUCUUUUCUCCGAUGGUGUUCCUCGCGAAAUAAAUCGGUGCCGAGUGCACCCUCCUCUAUCGAUGUAAACUUCGUGCUUAGUCUAAAACGAAGUUAGAGUGCACGCGAUCGUUUUAUGGAUAUGGAUCUAGUUCCCGAUGCGUUGAUGUCAAGAUUAGUGUCCGCUGUCAAUUACGGCGUGGAGCAGAAUUUAUUCAGAAUUUCUUCAAAGGUUGGAGGAACACGGCCCGACAGAGAUACAGCUCGCGCUUAUUCGCUGUUGGUGGACGUUUUAUGGAUAUUGAUCAAGUAAUCAAGUAACGCAGCCUAGAUCUUGAUAUCGCAUAGGUUCGAGAAACGAUCACGAAAUUCCUGCACAGGUCCUCGGAGUUCGUUCAGCAGCGUGUAAUAAUCCGAGAAAAUUGAAACUAUGACAAACGUUGUUCCCGGCCACUUUCGAUUAAGCCCGAGGACAUUUUAUGGGUAUCGAUCCAGCGAUUCAGGUGCUAAUAAAUUAACAGCAGUUCGAUCGAUUCUGCUGCAAAUGGAACUGACACGUGAUAGUUACAGCCGAUCGUCGAGUCGGGGAAAAUUCAUGUGGAACACAUUCGAGCCAAUAAUGCUAGAAAAUUAGGAUUGUAAGAGCCUUGGUUUAUACCAGUCUCAAUGUACCCGGAGGAUAUUUUAUAGACAUCAAUCUGGCGGGCCGAUAAAUUAAUUCGAGCGAAGUUUCGAACGGAGCUGAACCUAUGGUUCUUGGGCAAACAAAACUCGCGCGUAUAAUCCGGACGACUUCGAAUAUAGGACGUUUCGUAUCGAUCCAGCGAUCCAGGUGUUAAUAGACUGACUGUAAUUCCGCUCACGGAUGAUGUUCGAAAUCCAGUUAAAACUUAAUGCUAUAAUACGAAUCGGUGCUCGGAGAUUAGGACUGACAGACGUUGCCUUAUGCUUUCGUUGAACCCCCGGGACAUUUUAUCGAUAACGAUCUAGAGUGCCCAGAUGCUCGUAGAUCGGCUAUGCGCCGACCGAUCUCAUUCUAAUUCCAUUUAAACCAUGGUACUAAUAGAUUCGGUUAACAAAAAGAUCGCGUCGGAUUGGAAUGCAGUUUCGCGACAACAACAAAAGAUGACUGAAUUCGAUGCAUCCAACGUAGACAGUGGUUGCACGAAGGGUGUUCCAAGUUCCCCGAUUCUGCAAUC